GGAGGGUUGGCUGAGCUCGGNUUAAGGCGCUCGAUUCGAAAUCGAGUGAUGCAGUGAUGUAUCCGUGGGUUCGNAUCCCACACCCUCCGCCA
rnacentral:tRNA from 1 species